GCUGUAUGCUACUCUAUCGCUCCGUACCAGAUACGGGGAGGAAAGUCCGGACAAUACAGAGCGCCGCACCCAGAUAAUCUCUGGGCCACUCGCCUCGGCGAGUGCAAGAUAGUGCCACAGAGAAUAACCGCCUGGUCCUAUGCCGGGUAAGGGUGAAAACGUGCGGUAAGAGCGCACGGCUCCGCUAUGGGAACAUACGGGGCGGGUAAACCUUGCGGAUUGUAAGCCCAUGUAAACCGGCGGCUGAGGCCGGCUCGGCCGAUUCACUCAGGUGAAACGCCGGAGGGUUGGGUGCUACAGGUGUGGAGCGAUCUACAUCGCAGAUAAAUGAUAGAGGCUCCCGCGAGGGAGUACAGGAUCCGGCUUACAGGUGUACAGCCUAU
rnacentral:RNase_P_RNA from 1 species